UACAGAGGGUGCUAGCGUUGUUCGGAAUCAUUGGGCGUAAAGCGCUCGCAGGCGGCUCGAUGCGUCGUGCGUGAAACACCCCGGCUCAACUGGGGAGGGUCGUGCGAUACGGUCGAGCUUGAGGCCAGUAGGGGGAUGCGGAAUUCCGGGUGUAGUGGUGGAAUGCGUAGAGAUCCGGAGGAACACCAGCGGCGAAGGCGGCAUCCUGGACCGGCAUUGACGCUGAGGCGCGAAAGCCAGGGGAGCAAAGCGGG
rnacentral:rRNA from 1 species